rnacentral:rRNA from 1 species
AACGAACGCUGGCGGCAGGCUUAACACAUGCAAGUCGAGCGCCCCGCAAGGGGAGCGGCAGACGGGUGAGUAACGCGUGGGAAUCUACCCAUCUCUACGGAAUAACGUAUGGAAACGCGUGCUAAUACCGUAUACGUCCUUCGGGAGAAAGAUUUAUCGGAGAUGGAUGAGCCCGCGUUGGAUUAGCUAGUUGGUGGGGUAAAGGCCUACCAAGGCGACGAUCCAUAGCUGGUCUGAGAGGAUGAUCAGCCACACUGGGACUGAAACACGGCCCAGACUCCUACGGGAGGCAGCAGUGGGGAAUAUUGGACAAUGGGCGCAAGCCUGAUCCAGCCAUGCCGCGUGAGUGAUGAAGGCCCUAGGGUUGUAAAGCUCUUUCACCGGUGAAGAUAAUGACGGUAACCGGAGAAGAAGCCCCGGCUAACUUCGUGCCAGCCGCCGCCGUAAAAC